UUACCUGGCGGCGAUAGCGCGGUGGUCCCACCUGACCCCAUGCCGAACUCAGAAGUGAAACGCCGUAGCGCCGAUGGUAGUGUGGGGUCUCCCCAUGUGAGAGUAGGGAACUGCCAGGUUU
rnacentral:rRNA from 1 species